CCCAGACUCCUACGGGAGGCAGCAGUGGGGAAUAUUGGGCAAUGGGCGCAAGCCUGACCCAACAACGCCGCGUGAAGGAAGAAGGCUUUCGGGUUGUAAACUUCUUUUCUCAGGGACGAAGCAAGUGACGGUACCUGAGGAAUAAGCCACGGCUAACUACGUGCCAGCAGCCGCGGUAAUACGUAGGUGGCAAGCGUUAUCCGGAUUUACUGGGUGUAAAGGGCGUGUAGGCGGGACUGCAAGUCAGAUGUGAAAACCACGGGCUCAACCUGUGGCCUGCAUUUGAAACUGUAGUUCUUGAGUACUGGAGAGGCAGACGGAAUUCCUAGUGUAGCGGUGAAAUGCGUAGAUAUUAGGAGGAACACCAGUGGCGAAGGCGGCCUACUGGACGGUGACUGACGCUGAGGCUCGAAAGCGUGGGGAGCAAACAGGAUUAGAUACCCGAGUAGU
rnacentral:rRNA from 1 species